AACGAACGCUGGCGGCAGGCUUAACACAUGCAAGUCGAGCGCCCCGCAAGGGGAGCGGCAGACGGGUGAGUAACGCGUGGGAAUCUACCGUGCCCUGCGGAAUAGCUCCGGGAAACUGGAAUUAAUACCGCAUACGCCCUACGGGGGAAAGAUUUAUCGGGGUAUGAUGAGCCCGCGUUGGAUUAGCUAGUUGGUGGGGUAAAGGCCUACCAAGGCGACGAUCCAUAGCUGGCCUGAGAGGAUGAUCAGCCACAUUGGGACUGAGACACGGCCCAAACUCCUACGGGAGGCAGCAGUGGGGAAUAUUGGACAAUGGGCGCAAGCCUGAUCCAGCCAUGCCGCGUGAGUGAUGAAGGCCCUAGGGUUGUAAAGCUCUUUCAACGGUGAAGAUAAUGACGGUAACCGUAGAAGAAGCCCCGGCUAACUUCGUGCCAGCCGCCGCCGUAACAC
rnacentral:rRNA from 1 species